GAGGGAUAUUGGGCAAUGGGGGAAACCCUGACCCAGCAACGCCGCGUGAGGGAUGACGGUUUUCGGAUUGUAAACCUCUGUCCUCUGUGAAGAUAGUGACGGUAGCAGAGGAGGAAGCUCCGGCUAACUACGUGCCAGCAGCCGCGGUAAUACGUAGGGAGCAAGCGUUGUCCGGAUUUACUGGGUGUAAAGGGUGCGUAGGCGGAUUGGCAAGUCAGAAGUGAAAUCCAUGGGCUUAACCCAUGAACUGCUUUUGAAACUGUUAGUCUUGAGUGAAGUAGAGGUAGGCGGAAUUCCCGGUGUAGCGGUGAAAUGCGUAGAGAUCGGGAGGAACACCAGUGGCGAAGGCGGCCUACUGGGCUUUAACUGACGCUGAGGCACGAAAGUGUGGGUAGCAAACAGGAUUAGAUACCCUGGUAGUCCACACUGUAAACGAUGAUUACUAGGUGUGGGGGGUCUAACCCCCUCCGUGCCGGAGUUAACACAAUAAGUAAUCCACCUGGGGAGUACGACCGCAAGGUUGAAACUCAAAGGAAUUGACGGGGGCCCGCACAAGCAGUGGAGUAUGUGGUUUAAUUCGACGCAACGCGAAGAACCUUACCAGGUCUUGACAUCCAACUAACGAAGCAGAGAUGCGUUAGGUGCCCUUCGGGGAAAGUUGAGACAGGUGGUGCAUGGUUGUCGUCAGCUCGUGUCGUGAGAUGUUGGGUUAAGUCCCGCAACGAGCGCAACCCUUGUGAUUAGUUGCUACGCAAGAGCACUCUAAUCAGACUGCCGUUGACAAAACGGAGGAAGGUGGGGACGACGUCAAAUCAUCAUGCCCUUUAUGACCUGGGCUACACACGUACUACAAUGGUCGUUAACAGAGGGAAGCAAUACCGCGAGGUGGAGCAAAACCCUAAAAACGGUCUCAGUUCAGAUUGUAGGCUGCAACUCGCCUACAUGAAGUUGGAAUUGCUAGUAAUCGCAGAUCAGAAUGCCGCGGUGAAUACGUUCCCG
rnacentral:rRNA from 1 species